rnacentral:rRNA from 1 species
AUGCACGCUGGCGGCGUGCCUAAUACAUGCAAGUCGCGCGAACAGACGAGGAGAUUGCUCCUCUGACGUUAGCGGCGGACGGGUGAGUAACACGUGGAUAACCUACCUAUAAGACUGGGAUAACUUCGGGAAACCGGAGCUAAUACCGGAUAAUAUAUUGAACCGCAUGGUUCAAUAGUGAAAGACGGUUUUGCUGUCACUUAUAGAUGGAUCCGCGCCGCAUUAGCUAGUUGGUAAGGUAACGGCUUACCAAGGCAACGAUGCGUAGCCGACCUGAGAGGGUGAUCGGCCACACUGGAACUGAGACACGGUCCAGACUCCUACGGGAGGCAGCAGUAGGGAAUCUUCCGCAAUGGGCGAAAGCUUGACGGAGCAACGCCGCGUGAGUGAUGAAGGUCUUCGGAUCGUAAAACUCUGUUAUUAGGGAAGAACAAAUGUGUAAGUAACUAUGCACGUCUUGACGGUACCUAAUCAGAAAGCCACGGCUAACUACGUG